AACCUUGAAACUUACUUACCUGGACGGGGUCUAUGGCUGAUCAAGAAGAGUCAUAGCCCAGGCUAGUGGCCUACAUUGCAUUUUGUGGGCGCGCUGGCCUACCAUCUCCCCUUUAAGAGAGAGUGGACCUCAUGA
rnacentral:rRNA from 1 species